GUGGGGAAUUUUGGACAAUGGGCGCAAGCCUGAUCCAGCAAUGCCGCGUGCAGGAAGAAGGCCUUCGGGUUGUAAACUGCUUUUGUACGGAACGAAACGGUCCUGGUUAAUACCUGGGGCUAAUGACGGUACCGUAAGAAUAAGCACCGGCUAACUACGUGCCAGCAGCCGCGGUAAUACGUAGGGUGCGAGCGUUAAUCGGAAUUACUGGGCGUAAAGCGUGCGUCAGCGGUGCUGUAAGACAGGCGUGAAAUCCCCGGGCUCAACCUGGGAAUUGCGCUUGAGACUGAGGUGCUGGAGUACGGCAGAGGGGGAUGGAAUUCAGCGUGUAGCAGUGAAAUGCGUAGAUAUGCGGAGGAACACCGAUGGCGAAGGCAGUCCCCUGGGCCUGUACUGACGCUCAUGCACGAAAGCGUGGGGAGCAAACAGGAUUAGAUACCCGUGUAGUCC
rnacentral:rRNA from 1 species